CAGCAGCCGCGGGAAUACGUAGGGUGCGAGCGUUAAUCGGAAUUACUGGGCGUAAAGCGUGCGCAGGCGGUUGUGUAAGACAGGUGUGAAAUCCCCGGGCUUAACCUGGGAACUGCGCUUGUGACUGCACAGCUAGGGGAUGGCAGAGGGGGGUGGAAUUCCACGUGUAGCAGUGAAAUGCGUAGAGAUGUGGAGGAACACCGAUGGCGAAGGCAGCCCCCUGGGCCAAUACUGACGCUCAUGCACGAAAGCGUGGGGAGCAAACAGGAUUAGAUACCCCCGUAGUCCCUGUCUCUUAUAA
rnacentral:rRNA from 1 species